rnacentral:lncRNA from 1 species
UUGUUUUUUGUUUUUUUUUUUGAGACGGUGUCUCACUCUGUCGCCCAGGUUAGAGUGCAGUGGCACCAUCUCAGCUCACUGCAAGCUCCGCCUUCCAGGUUCAUGCCAUUCUCCUGCCUCAGGCUCUCGAGUAGCUGGGACUACAGGCGCUCACCACCACGCCCGCCUAAUUUUUUCUAUUUUUUAAUAGAGACGGGGUUUCACCCGUGUUAGCCAGGAUGGUCUCGAUUUCCUGACCUCGUGAUCCACCCGCCUAGGCCUCCCAAAGUGCUGGGAUUACAGGCAUGAGCCGCCGCGGCCGGCAAUUUUUGUAUUUUAAGUGGAGAUGAGGUUUCACCAUGUUAGCCAGGCUGGUCUUCAGCUCCUGACCUCAGGUGAUCCAUCCGCCUUGGUCUCCCAAAAUGCUGGGAUUACAGGCAUGAGCCACUGUGCUCGGCCUGCAGGUUUUAACAAGAGGAGCAUGAACUAUCAUUUUGACACAAAGACAGCUUAAAAAAAAUAAUAAAGCUGGCUGGACGCGGUGGCUCACACCUGUAAUCCCAGCACUUUGGGAGGCUGAGGCGGGCGGAUCACGAGGUCAGGAGAUCGAGACCAUCCCGGCUAAAACGGUGAAACCCCGUCUCUACUAAAAAUACAAAAAAUUAGCCGGGCGUAGUGGCGGGCGCCUGUAGUCCCAGCUACUUGGGAGGCUGAGGCAGGAGAAUGGCGUGAACCCGGGAGGCGGAGCUUGCAGUGAGCCGAGAUCCCGCCACUGCACUCCAGCCUGGGCGACAGAGCGAGACUCCGUCUCAAAAAAA